UACGUAGGGGGCAAGCGUUAUCCGGAAUUACUGGGUGUAAAGGGAGCGUAGACGGCGAGGUAAGCCUGAAGUGGAAGCCCGCGGCCCAACCGCGGAACUGCUUUGGGAACUGUUUUGCUGGAGUAUGGGAGGGGUAAGCGGAAUUCGUGGUGUAGCGGUGAAAUGCUUAGAUAUCACGAAGAACUCCGAUUGCGAAGGCAGCCUGCUGGACUGUAACUGACGCUGAUGCUCGAAAGUGUGGGUAUCAAACAGG
rnacentral:rRNA from 1 species